rnacentral:rRNA from 1 species
GAUGAACGCUGGCGGCGUGCUUAACACAUGCAAGUCGAACGGAAAGGCUCCUGCUUGCAGGGGUACUCGAGUGGCGAACGGGUGAGUAACACGUGGGUGAUCUGCCCUGCACUUCGGGGUAAGCCUGGGAAACUGGGUCUAAUACCGGAUAGGACGAUGGUUUGGAUGCCAUUGUGGAAAGUUUUUCGGUGUGGGAUGAGCUCGCGGCCUAUCAGCUUGUUGGUGGGGUAAUGGCCCACCAAGGCGUCGACGGGUAGCCGGCCUGAGAGGGUGUACGGCCACAUUGGGACUGAGAUACGGCCCAGACUCCUACGGGAGGCAGCAGUGGGGAAUAUUGCACAAUGGGCGCAAGCCUGAUGCAGCGACGCCGCGUGGGGGAUGACGGCCUUCGGGUUGUAAACUCCUUUCGCUAGGGACGAAGCGCAAGUGACGGUACCUGGAGAAGAAGCACCGGCUAACUACGUG